rnacentral:rRNA from 1 species
UAAGUUAAUAAGGGCGCACGGUGGAUGCCUUGGCACUAGGAGCCGACGAAGGACGUGACAAACGACGAUAUGCCUUGGGUAGCUGUAAGUAAGCGAUGAUCCAGGGAUUUCCGAAUGGGGGAACCCAACAGGUAAUACCUGUUACCUACAUCUGUUAAGGAUGUGAGGAGGAAGACGCAGUGAACUGAAACAUCUAAGUAGCUGCAGGAAGAGAAAGCAAAAGCGAUUGCCUUAGUAGCGGCGAGCGAAACGGCAGAAGGGCAAACCGAAGAGUUUACUCUUCGGGGUUGUAGGACUGCAAUGUGGACUCAAAGAUUAUAGAAGAAUGAUUUGGGAAGAUCAGCCAAAGAGAGUAAUAGCCUCGUAUUUAAAAUAGUCUUUGUACUUAGCAGUAUCCUGAGUGCGGCGGGACACGUGAAAUCCCGUCGGAAUCUGGGAGGACCAUCUCCCAACCCUAAAUACUCCCUAGUGACCGAUAGUGAACCAGUACCGUGAGGGAAAGGUGAAAAGCACCCCGGGAGGGGAGUGAAAUAGAACCUGAAACCGUGUGCCUACAACAAGUUCGAGCCCGUUAAUGGGUGAGAGCGUGCCUUUUGUAGAAUGAACCGGCGAGUUACGUUAUGAUGCGAGGUUAAGUUGAAGAGACGGAGCCGUAGGGAAACCGAGUCUGAAUAGGGCGCCUUAGUAUCAUGACGUAGACCCGAAACCAUGUGACCUACCCAUGAGCAGGUUGAAGGUGCGGUAAGACGCACUGGAGGACCGAACCAGGGCACGUUGAAAAGUGCUUGGAUGACUUGUGGGUAGCGGAGAAAUUCCAAACGAACUUGGAGAUAGCUGGUUCUCUCCGAAAUAGCUUUAGGGCUAGCGUCGACAUUAGAGAUUCUUGGAGGUAGAGCACUGUUUGGGUGAGGGGUCCAUCCCGGAUUACCAAUCUCAGAUAAACUCCGAAUGCCAAUGAAUUAUGGUCGGCAGUCAGACUGCGAGUGCUAAGAUCCGUAGUCGAAAGGGAAACAGCCCAGACCACCAGCUAAGGUCCCAAAAUAAUUGUUAAGUGGAAAAGGAUGUGGGGUUGCACAGACAACUAGGAUGUUAGCUUAGAAGCAGCUAUUCAUUCAAAGAGUGCGUAAUAGCUCACUAGUCGAGUGACCCUGCGCCGAAAAUGUACCGGGGCUAAAACAAUUUACCGAAGCUGUGGAUACCUUUAUAGGUAUGGUAGGAGAGCGUUCUAUGUGUGAUGAAGGUAUACCGUGAGGAGUGCUGGAACGCAUAGAAGUGAGAAUGCCGGUAUGAGUAGCGAAAGACAGGUGAGAAUCCUGUCCACCGUAAGACUAAGGUUUCCAGGGGAAGGCUCGUCCGCCCUGGGUUAGUCGGGACCUAAGGAGAGACCGAAAGGUGUAUCCGAUGGACAACAGGUUGAUAUUCCUGUACUAGAGUAUGUAGUGAUGGAGGGACGCAGUAGGCUAACUAAAGCAGACGAUUGGAAGAGUCUGUCUAAGCAGUGAGGUGUGAAUUGAGUCAAAUGCUUAAUUCUAUAACAUUGAGCUGUGAUGGGGAGCGAAGUUUAGUAGCGAAGUUAGUGACGUCACACUGCCAAGAAAAGCUUCUAGCGUUUAAACAUACUCUACCCGUACCGCAAACCGACACAGGUAGUCGAGGCGAGUAGCCUCAGGUGAGCGAGAGAACUCUCGUUAAGGAACUCGGCAAAAUGACCCCGUAACUUCGGGAGAAGGGGUGCUGACUUAAAGUCAGCCGCAGUGAAUAGGCCCAAGCAACUGUUUAUCAAAAACACAGCUCUCUGCUAAAUCGUAAGAUGAUGUAUAGGGGGUGACGCCUGCCCGGUGCUGGAAGGUUAAGAGGAGUGCUUAGCGUAAGCGAAGGUAUGAAUUGAAGCCCCAGUAAACGGCGGCCGUAACUAUAACGGUCCUAAGGUAGCGAAAUUCCUUGUCGGGUAAGUUCCGACCCGCACGAAAGGCGUAAUGAUUUGGGCACUGUCUCAACGAGAGACUCGGUGAAAUUUUAGUACCUGUGAAGAUGCAGGUUACCCGCGACAGGACGGAAAGACCCCAUGGAGCUUUACUGCAGUUUGAUAUUGAGUGUCUGUACCACAUGUACAGGAUAGGUAGGAGUCUAAGAGAUCGGGACGCCAGUUUCGAAGGAGACGCUGUUGGGAUACUACCCUUGUGUUAUGGCCACUCUAACCCAGAUAGGUGAUCCCUAUCGGAGACAGUGUCUGACGGGCAGUUUGACUGGGGCGGUCGCCUCCUAAAAGGUAACGGAGGCGCCCAAAGGUUCCCUCAGAAUGGUUGGAAAUCAUUCGCAGAGUGUAAAGGUAUAAGGGAGCUUGACUGCGAGAGCUACAACUCGAGCAGGGACGAAAGUCGGGCUUAGUGAUCCGGUGGUUCCGUAUGGAAGGGCCAUCGCUCAACGGAUAAAAGCUACCCUGGGGAUAACAGGCUUAUCUCCCCCAAGAGUUCACAUCGACGGGGAGGUUUGGCACCUCGAUGUCGGCUCGUCGCAUCCUGGGGCUGUAGUCGGUCCCAAGGGUUGGGCUGUUCGCCCAUUAAAGCGGCACGCGAGCUGGGUUCAGAACGUCGUGAGACAGUUCGGUCCCUAUCCGUCGCGGGCGUAGGAAAUUUGAGAGGAUCUGCUCCUAGUACGAGAGGACCAGAGUGGACUUACCGCUGGUGUACCAGUUGUCUUGCCAAAGGCAUCGCUGGGUAGCUAUGUAGGGAAGGGAUAAACGCUGAAAGCAUCUAAGUGUGAAACCCACCUCAAGAUGAGAUUUCCCAUGAUUAUAUAUCAGUAAGAGCCCUGAGAGAUGAUCAGGUAGAUAGGUUAGAAGUGGAAGUGUGGCGACACAUGUAGCGGACUAAUACUAAUAGCUCGAGGACUUAUCCA